GGGCGCGGCAGGUGGAGCGGGAGCCCGGGCGGCACCGCGUCGCCAUUACACAAUAGCGCGGGCGGCGCGGGCGGGCGGCGGGCGGCGCAGGAGGCGGGACGCGGGGCCCCGGAGCUGUCGAUCGGGGACAAAGCGCGGCCGCCCGGCGCCCCCCGAGCCGCCCGAGCCGGGGCGCAGCCCGCGCCCCCCGCGACUGACAUGAUGUUUCCGCAAAGCCGGCACUCGGGCUCCUCCCACCUCCCUCAGCAGCUCAAGUUCACCACCUCCGACUCCUGUGACCGCAUCAAAGAUGAGUUCCAGCUGCUGCAAGCGCAGUAUCACAGCCUGAAGCUGGAGUGCGACAAGCUGGCCAGCGAGAAGUCAGAGAUGCAGAGGCAUUACGUCAUGUACUAUGAGAUGUCCUACGGAUUGAACAUCGAGAUGCACAAACAGUGCCCCAGGUACUGAGGGAAAAUCGUGUGUUCCAGGCGGAAAUUGUGAAGAGGCUGAAUGGGAUUUGCGCCCAGGUUCUGCCCUAUUUGUCACAGGAGCAUCAGCAGCAGGUCCUGGGAGCCAUCGAGAGAGCCAAGCAGGUCACGGCUCCUGAGCUGAACUCCAUCAUCCGACAGCAGCUCCAGGCUCACCAGCUGUCCCAGCUGCAGGCGCUGGCCCUGCCCCUGACACCGCUGCCUGUCGGGCUCCAGCCACCGUCCCUCCCUGCAGUCAGUGCAGGCACAGGCCUGCUGUCACUCUCUGCUCUGGGUUCUCAGACCCACCUCUCCAAGGAGGACAAGAACGGACACGAUGGGGACACCCACCAGGAGGAUGACGGAGAGAAGUCGGAUUAGCUCUUGGGGAAGGGGGAGGGGGGAGACCAGGGGAGACAGGCACAGAGAGCGCAGUGUUCUAAGGGCCACACAGCACACAGCUCUGUCACUACCCAAGCUUACACCUCCAGUCCUGGUUCUGGCUGUGCACCCUGGGCCUAGGGGACGCCAGAGGGACACCCCAGGCUAAGGGUUCUUCCCCACCUUCAACAUUUCCCUGGGCCACAGCCACCAAUCUCGGCCCAGAAUGUACACAACGCUAGCUGCCCCUUUCCACCCUGUGCACCCCGAAUCUGCCCCUAUCCCCUUCUCUGCUUCCUGCACUGCACACCUGCUAGUCCCAGACCCCUCCCCCCAGCUCCCCCAGCUCCGGUUCCCUCAACCACAAAAGAAGGGGACAGAGAGAAAGCAUUGGCUCGGGACUGCAGUGGGGGUGGGCACCCCACAAACUUCCCUCCCCUCUUCCCCAAAUAAACGUGAGGGUUAAAAGUUGGUUUGUUUAUGAUUUCUUUCUUGUGCCAGUAUUCUAUAGCUAUCAUCUCAGAAAGGAAAAGAAGGAAGCCCCAGGAGUGUCUGUCAUAGGGUUAGCUUUGUUGGUCGCCUUGGUCUCUGUCCAGAGGUCAAAGGCCAAGCCGCUGUACUGAGGAUGGGGUCUAGCUGUGCCUUCAAAAUAAAAACAUGAAAAGGUUGGCCACUGUG